UACGUAGGGGGCAAGCGUUAUCCGGAAUCAUUGGGCGUAAAGGGUGCGUAGGCGGCCCUAUGGGUCAGAGGUUAAAGGCUACGGCUCAACCGUAGUAAGCCUUUGAAACUGUAGGGCUUGAGUGCAGGAGAGGAGAGUGGAAUUCCUAGUGUAGCGGUGAAAUGCGUAGAUAUUAGGAGGAACACCAGUGGCGAAGGCGACUCUCUGGACUGCAACUGACGCUGAGGCACGAAAGCGUGGGUAGCGAACAGG
rnacentral:rRNA from 1 species